rnacentral:rRNA from 1 species
UACGGGGGGAGCAAGCGUUGUUCGGAUUUACUGGGCGUAAAGGGCGCGUAGGCGGCCACCGCAAGUCGACUGUGAAAUCUCCGGGCUUAACCCGGAAAGGUCAGCCGAUACUGCGGGGCUAGAGUGCAGAAGGGGCAACUGGAAUUCUCGGUGUAGCGGUGAAAUGCGUAGACAUCGAGAGGAACACCUGCGGCGAAGGCGGGUUGCUGGGCUGACACUGACGCUGAGGCGCGAAAGCUAGGGGAGCGAACGGG